GUAGGGAAUAUUGGGCAAUGGUCGGAAGACUGACCCAGCCAUGCCGCGUGCAGGAAGACGGCCCUCUGGGUUGUAAACUGCUUUUAUCUGGGAAGAAAAAGGCCAUGCGUGGCAAAUUGCCGGUACCAGAUGAAUAAGCACCGGCUAACUCCGUGCCAGCAGCCGCGGUAAUGCGGAGGGUGCGAGCGUUGUCCGGAUUUAUUGGGUUUAAAGGGUGCGUAGGCGGCUGAUUAAGUCAGCGGUGAAAGACUUCGGCUUAACCGGAGCAGUGCCGUUGAUACUGGUUGGCUUGAGUGUCGGAGGGGUACAUGGAAUUGAUGGUGUAGCGGUGAAAUGCAUAGAUACCAUCAGGAACACCGAUAGCGAAGGCAUUGUACUGGCCGACAACUGACGCUGAUGCACGAAAGUGUGGGGAUCGAACAGGAUUAGAUACCCCGGUAGUCC
rnacentral:rRNA from 1 species